GGGAGUGGUCAAUCACUAGUUGAGUGUUUGAGUUAUUCUCUAGUCAAUAAUAUCAUGCCAAGUCAAGUCCCCAUUCCACUCCCCAUUUUGCACUCAAUCACUGGCAAUAAUCAAACAGAUGGAGAUUGUUAAAGAGUUGGUCAGGUAAAGCCAUUGUCUACACGGCCAGGGGCGGAGCUACCUUUAUGCCGGGGGCAACGCCCGCUACGGCUUGGCGCGGAAAAAAUUGGAAAAAUUAGUGUAAAUUUUGGAAAAAUUUGAGGUUUUU
rnacentral:lncRNA from 1 species